rnacentral:rRNA from 1 species
UACGGAGGGGGUUAGCGUUGUUCGGAAUUACUGGGCGUAAAGCGCGCGUAGGCGGAUUAGUAAGUUGGGGGUGAAAUCCCAGGGCUCAACCCUGGAACUGCCUCCAAAACUACUAGUCUUGAGUUCGAGAGAGGUGAGUGGAAUUCCGAGUGUAGAGGUGAAAUUCGUAGAUAUUCGGAGGAACACCAGUGGCGAAGGCGGCUCACUGGUCCGGUACUGACGCUGAGGUGCGAAAGCGUGGGGAGCAAACAGG